rnacentral:rRNA from 1 species
UACGUAGGGGGCAAGCGUUAUCCGGAAUUACUGGGUGUAAAGGGUGAGUAGGCGGCAUGGUAAGCCAGAUGUGAAAGCCUUGGGCUUAACCCAAGGAUUGCAUUUGGAACUAUCAAGCUAGAGUACAGGAGAGGAAAGCGGAAUUCCUAGUGUAGCGGUGAAAUGCGUAGAUAUUAGGAGGAACACCAGUGGCGAAGGCGACUUUCUGGACAGUAACUGACGUUGAGGCACGAAAGUGUGGGGAGCAAACAGG